GAUGAACGCUGGCGGCGCGCCUAAUACAUGCAAGUCGAACGGUUAAAGCACCUUUUUGGUGUGUAUAAAGUGGCGAACGGCUGAGUAACACGUGAGCAACCUUCCCUCCUCUUGGGGAUAGCCUCGGAAAACCGAUGAUAAUCCCCGAUACUUCAAUGUGGCCGCAUUACUUCAUUGAUAAAGCUUUUGGGGGGAAGGAUGGGCCGGCUGCCUAUUAGCUUGUUUUUGUGGUAUAGCACUACCAAGCCAAUGAUGGGUAGCUGGGCUGAGAGACCGACCAGCCAGGCUGAGACUGAGACGAGGCACAGACACCUAAGGGACGGAACGGGGGGGAAGCUUGCAGAAGGGACGAAGGGCUGGUGCAGCGACGCCGCGUGCGGUAAGAAGGUCUUCGGGUUGAAGACCAAAUUCAGAAGGGACGAGGCGAAAAGUGACGGUACCUGCAGAAGAAGCCCCGGCUAACUACGUG
rnacentral:rRNA from 1 species